GUUUUGCAUGAGGAACAUCGACUUUUUGGUAAAAUUUUUUGUCGCUCGAUCGAACGUAAACCAAUCGGAUUGUCGUGAAUUUAUCGUUAUUUGAUUUUGGCGCGCUUUUCUCAAAUAAUAUUUUACUGCAGCCAUGUUGGAGCAGUCGUGUAUAGGACGCGGCGUGCGUUUCGAUGUACCUUUGCCUCUUAAGUUUUUUAAUUUAAUUAUACUCAUUAUAUUUUAUAUCGAUACUUCGGCAUAUAAGGAACAAUUAAUUUUGCUUUUAAUAAAGAAAAUGUGAGACUGAGAAACGUUUUAUCGACAUACUCGUAUUCUAAGUGUUCAUUCGUUCGAAUUGGAGGUUAUAAACUCUCGCGUGCUGCCGUUGACGAACGCGCGCGAUUAAUAAGUUUUAAGAGAAAAGGAAAAAAAAGAAAAAAAAAAAAAGAAGAAGAAAAAGAUGAAUUUCUCUGGAAAUAAUAUUAUUCAAGGCACAUUGCCUCAAUUUUCCGAGUUAACAUCGCGAUCGAAUUCUACUUCUAACGUUGAAUUUAAUCAUAACGGAAACAACAGUAGCAGUGCAUUAGAAUUACCAACGGUUCAAAAUUCUAUUUACACUACGGUCGCAGGUUCGAAUCAGAAUAAACAACAAUUUCUUGUAAACUCACAGAAUAAAUACCCUGGAUCUUUAUUUACUUGGCCGGAUUCUAAUACUCUUAUGCAGCUGUGCGAGAAACAGGGUAUACAAGCAAUCAACAUUCCUAAUUAUAAUCAGUGCAAUCCUUCUUCGAUAAUCAACGUCCAAUCAAAUACUCUCCCAGUAAGGAUUAUACCUAAUGUGUACUUACCUUCGACGUCUCAAAUAGAUACUCAAAAGGAAGAGAAUAAGACUGACAAUGAUACGAGAAAUUCUGAUGAGCAGGAAGCUGCUCAAUUGGUACAAGGUUCUAAUAUGACCGAAUAUCUUCAAAAGUUGCAAGCUACGACACUGCCAUUAACAUUACAACAAUUAAUAAAAUUACAAACUGAACAAAUUAAGAAAGAUAAGACGGAGGAAGAGAAAUCUGAACAUAAUCAGAACAAUAUUUUAAACAUUCCUAGCGUAUCGGUAUUUAGAAAUUCACAGACACAAAAUGGAAAUAAUUUUAUGAAUUCCGAGCAUAUGAUGAUAACAUUGAAUCCUAAUGAUUUUAACGUACAUUUGCUUUCGAAUCAACAAGAUAAUGAUAAUAAUGGGCAGAUUGUAAAGGUAGAGCAACAGGUACAAACGGAUUCGCCGAAAGUAGAAAAGAAAAUGAAAUUUCGGGCAAAAACCGGGGAGAUCAAAAUCAGCGUUGCUUUAGACGGUUCAAGAGUUUAUUGCUGUCCAGAGUGCAAUUUAGUUUUUCCUGAAAAAUCCGAGAUAGAUCAGCAUAUACAAGCACACAUACAGGAACGAAAAUAUCAAUGCAAGGAGUGCGGAGCGAUGUUAAAGAGAAAAGAGCAUUUGGAUCAGCAUAUGCGAGGUCAUUCCGACGAAAGACCAUAUAAAUGUCCUGUCUGUGAGAAAGCUUUCAAAAGGAAUGAACAUUUGACGAGACAUUACGUUAUUCAUUCCGGUGAUAAAAAUUUUUCUUGCACCGUAUGUCAAAAGGCUUUUUCACGAAAGGACCAUUUGAAUAAACACACUCAAACACAUUUGGGCAUUAAAAAGAGUAAAAGCAAGAAGGAUUUAUUUUUUAUAGAACAGAAAGAACCCUUUGAUAAAGCCGUUGAAUUAUCGACAAUGCCUAAGCAACAAGAUGUUGUCAUAAAAGAUGAUCCCAUUAAACAGGAAACUGAUUUUCUUCAUCAUCUUCAUAAUCUUCAGAAAGAUCAAGUACUAUCAAAUACUUUCUCGUCGUUUAAAGAACAAUCCUUAAAAGAAGUAACGACACUUCAGCAACCGCUUGUGAACAUGAACGAAGUCUUGCCGCAAAAUACAAGAUUCUACUCUCUAACAUGGAAAUGCGAACGCGCGGUCGUGGGUAAUGCCGUUAGUGUGCGAAGUAAUCCGAUUAGAUCGUGUAAUUAAUUUUGUACUAUCGGAUUACCAGACACGAAACAAAAUUUCUAUCUCUUUCGUCGUUGGUCGCAAGGUCGCACAGUCUAGAUGAGAAACCAAUUCGAUACGUAGCUUCGAUCAAUCCAGGAGGUGAUACGAUUGAGAAUGAUAUCUUGAGGGAGAAAAAAUGAAAUGAAAAGAAGAAGAAGAAGAAGAAGAAGAAAAAGAAAAAGAAGAAGAAGAAGAAAGAAAAGAAAAGAAAAAGUUGAAAAGGACAAAAUAAAUGAUUGAACAAUUAAAACGUAUAAAAAUGAAGGUUUUCAUCGAAGGAUAAAAGAUUCGUUGGGUCGUUGGCCGACUACAAAAACGAAAAGCUCGUGUUUUUGAGGUCAAGAAUUUCCUUUGGAAAAAUUGUUUUUUUCACACCCACUUAGAAAAUUAUGGGAUAAUAAUCGUUGACUGAUAAAAAUUAAGCAAAUAAAAAGGCAAGAAAUCAUGACAGCUGAUAACUGAUAGGAUACCUAGGACGAUCGAUUGGCAAGACAGAGAAAGAAACAGAGAGAGAGAGAGAGAGAGAGAGAAAAAGAGAAGAGUAUAUCCCGUUGGAUAGAGAAAUCACGUGGACGAAAUGGCACCCUCGAUGGUCA